UACGUAGGGUGCGAGCGUUGUCCGGAAUUAUUGGGCGUAAAGAGCUCGUAGGCGGUCUGUCGCGUCUGCUGUGAAAACCCGAGGCUCAACCUCGGGCCUGCAGUGGGUACGGGCAGACUAGAGUGCGGUAGGGGAGAAUGGAAUUCCUGGUGUAGCGGUGGAAUGCGCAGAUAUCAGGAGGAACACCGGUGGCGAAGGCGGGUCUCUGGGCCGUAACUGACGCUGAGGAGCGAAAGCGUGGGGAGCGAACAGG
rnacentral:rRNA from 1 species